GGGUUGUGAGGUUAAGCGACUAAGCGUACACGGUGGAUGCCCUGGCAGUCAGAGGCGAUGAAGGGCGUGCUAAUCUGCGAUAAGCGCCGGUAAGGUGAUAUGAACCGUUAUAACCGGCGAUACCCGAAUGGGGAAACCCAGUGUGAUUCGUCACACUAUCAUUAACUGAAUCCAUAGGUUAAUGAGGCGAACCGGGGGAACUGAAACAUCUAAGUACCCCGAGGAAAAGAAAUCAACCGAGAUUCCCCCAGUAGCGGCGAGCGAACGGGGAGGAGCCCAGAGCCUGAAUCAGCAUGUGUGUUAGUGGAAGCGUCUGGAAAGGCGCGCGAUACAGGGUGACAGCCCCGUACACAAAAGCGCAUGUGCUGUGAGCUCGAUGAGUAGGGCGGGACACGUGGUAUCCUGUCUGAAUAUGGGGGGACCAUCCUCCAAGGCUAAAUACUCCUGACUGACCGAUAGUGAACCAGUACCGUGAGGGAAAGGCGAAAAGAACCCCGGCGAGGGGAGUGAAAAAGAACCUGAAACCGUGUACGUACAAGCAGUGGGAGCACCCUUCGGGGUGUGACUGCGUACCUUUUGUAUAAUGGGUCAGCGACUUAUAUUCUGUAGCAAGGUUAACCGUAUAGGGGAGCCGCAGGGAAACCGAGUCUUAACCGGGCGUUAAGUUGCAGGGUAUAGACCCGAAACCCGGUGAUCUAGCCAUGGGCAGGUUGAAGGUUGGGUAACACUAACUGGAGGACCGAACCGACUAAUGUUGAAAAAUUAGCGGAUGACCUGUGGCUGGGGGUGAAAGGCCAAUCAAACCGGGAGAUAGCUGGUUCUCCCCGAAAGCUAUUUAGGUAGCGCCUCGUGAAUUCAUCUCCGGGGGUAGAGCACUGUUUCGGCUAGGGGGCCAUCCCGGCUUACCAACCCGAUGCAAACUGCGAAUACCGGAGAAUGUUAUCACGGGAGACACACGGCGGGUGCUAACGUCCGUCGUGAAGAGGGAAACAACCCAGACCGCCAGCUAAGGUCCCAAAGUCAUGGUUAAGUGGGAAACGAUGUGGGAAGGCCCAGACAGCCAGGAUGUUGGCUUAGAAGCAGCCAUCAUUUAAAGAAAGCGUAAUAGCUCACUGGUCGAGUCGGCCUGCGCGGAAGAUGUAACGGGGCUAAACCAUGCACCGAAGCUGCGGCAGCGAACGUAUCACUUAAAGCGAUUCAGCGGGUUACGAUUGACGGAGCGAAGCGACGUCAAAGCGUAUACAAAGUCGAGUCGGUUUAAGGAUACGUU
rnacentral:rRNA from 1 species